CCGCUCUCUCGACCAAUGAGAAAUGGUGUCGUAAGUCGCUACCGCCCGGUCGUAGGUCACGUGACGGUGUUUCCCCUCCCUCUGACCCCCUGCCUCCAGGUUCUGAGAAGAUGGCGAAGGUCUCAGAGCUUUACGAUGUCACUUGGGAAGAGAUGCGAGAUAAAAUGAGAAAAUGGAGAGAAGAAAACUCACGAAAUAGUGAGCAAAUUGUGGAAGUUGGAGAGGAAUUAAUUAAUGAAUAUGCUUCUAAGCUUGGAGAUGAUAUUUGGAUCAUAUAUGAACAAGUAAUGAUUGCAGCCCUAGACUAUGGUCGAGAUGACUUGGCAUUGUUUUGUCUUCAGGAGUUGAGAAGACAGUUCCCUGGCAGUCAUAGAGUCAAGAGACUAACUGGGAUGAGAUUUGAAGCCAUGGAAAGAUACGAUGAUGCUAUACAACUGUAUGAUCGAAUUUUACAAGAAGAUCCAACUAACACUGCUGCAAGAAAGCGUAAGAUUGCCAUUCGAAAAGCCCAGGGGAAAAAUGUGGAGGCCAUUCGGGAACUGAAUGAGUAUCUGGAACAAUUUGUUGGAGACCAAGAAGCCUGGCAUGAACUUGCAGAACUUUAUAUCAAUGAACAUGACUAUGCUAAGGCAGCCUUUUGCUUAGAAGAGCUAAUGAUGACUAAUCCACACAACCACUUAUACUGUCAGCAGUAUGCUGAAGUUAAAUAUACUCAAGGUGGACUUGAAAACCUCGAACUUUCACGAAAGUAUUUUGCACAGGCAUUGAAACUGAACAACAGAAAUAUGAGAGCUUUGUUUGGGCUUUACAUGUCGGCAAGUCAUAUUGCUUCUAAUCCAAAAGCAAGUGCAAAAACAAAAAAGGACAACAUGAAAUAUGCUAGUUGGGCAGCUAGUCAAAUAAACAGAGCUUAUCAGUUUGCAGGUCGAAGUAAGAAGGAAACCAAAUACUCUCUUAAGGCAGUCGAAGACAUGUUGGAAACGCUGCAGAUCACUCAGUCUUAAGCUUGAAGAACUCCUUUCAGCUUUUCAUAGAAGGCAGUUUUGGUGGUGAUGAAUCCCUGAAGCUUUUGUUUGUUGGGAAAGGUGUUUAUUUAGCCUUCAUUUCUGAAGGACAACUUUACCAGGCAAUUCCUGAAUCUUCAUUUCUUUGACAUCAUUUAUGGGAAAUUUACUGUGUUCCUUUGAUGGUGUCAUGUUGCCCUGAUUCUUCAUGACUCCAGUAGUCUUGCAUACGUGUCUGUACGUUUGAGGAAGGAGUCACCUCUUCCAGACUUUAUGGACUGACUUUGACCUCUGCCACCACCAGUGAACAGACCUGAACUAGCUUUCUGGAGAGACAUGAGUUAUAUUGGAGAAGAGCUAAGAUAUCUAAACACGGACAUUAUAACCUACACAGCCCCAACUACCCUUCCAGACUUCCUGAACCUCAAAGUAUCAUUUCCUCUCUGCUUCUCGACCUUGCCAAAAUCUCUGGAGGCCGGGGUACAAAAGACUGAUAUUUUGCUUGAGGAGGGGCUCUAGGGAGGACACACACAUGUUAUCCUGCCAAACACAUUACUAUAAAAAGCUUAUCAUAUGUAUCCGCAAAGCAGAAAGAAGUGCCAUUUCUCUCCAAAAUGAAAGAAUGGAACAUUCUCCAGAAGAAGCUGAGAAGAUCUACCUGGGCCCAAAGCAAUCAUCCUGUUCCUGUUUGUGGUUGGAUGGAAGAUGCUCACUUGGCUAAUGAUCCUUGUGACCCAAAGAAAAGAGUGAAUUAUUCUCUCCCUCCUGGUCUCUUUGCUGUGCCCUCUGCUGUUAAAUCCACUUCCAUGCUCUCAGUGAUCUUCCAUAAAACCAUGAGCACGUCAAAUUCUGAGAUAUUCUUCUCAUCUGUUUGUGGAAAAUGCUAACGCAGACCCUCAAGAAGUUCACAACCAGAAUUAACUCUGUACAUCAAGAGCGUCUUCUUCUACCAAGGACAGUUCCAGGGUGUUUUCAUUCGUGCCGGUUUUCAUCCUGAAGUUGAAAGAACCGUAGAGUUUGGCAGACUCUUUGGAAGAGGCAAACCUGUUGCGACGAUAUAGCUCCCCCUUCCACAUAGACAUCAUCAGCAAACAGGACAGAACGACCCCCCCAAGAGUGAGCAGGCAGAGUCCCGCAAUCACACAGCGAUCCAGGUGAGCCCCCAACCUUGCGCUCUCCUUCUCCAAGCGUUCCAUCUCCCGGGCCGCCACGGUGUUGGGAUCCACAGUCACUUCCCGUGGAACAAUGUAAGAGAUGAUCACCAGCAAGAUGCCAGUGACCAAGAACAAGAUGGCACUGAUGAAACCAUAGUCAACUGACCUCCCUGAAGAUGUGGCUUCCGAACUUACAUCAUCCUCAUCUUCGGAUAUCAAGGAUACGGCAGCCUCAUGGGACCACUCGUUUGGAUUUCCCCAGCCAACGUCUCCCAGGUGAUUGCUCCCUUUUGCUGAAGGGGAGCAUCGGUUCCUUUGCUCUAAGUUGACAUUCUCAUCCACACAGGUAAAAGAAGUUUCUAAUUCCUGGCUGCAGCAGUUGCAGACUUUCCGCCCUGCUGUUAUUUGGUUGUUCCCUGAGUUGAGAGGUCCUGGUGGCAAGGAGUCUGUCUGAAUAACUCCGUCUUGCAAAGAGGAGGAGGGGGAUGCUGGAGAAGGACUAAGUUUAGAUCCUUCAAUCUCAGCUGCUUUUGGUGUUGACGUACAGUGUCUCUGGCAGCAGAGAGCAGCUUUGAUGGCUGCUGCAUCUGCCUGGCCAUCAGGAGGGCCUCCUGAAUGCCAGUCCCCAGCAUCGCACAGGACAGCCUGGCUGCUCUUCUUAGCAAGGGAGUGGAGCUCCAUCGGAGCUAGUCAGACAUCCCCCAGCAGCUUCUGAGAAUUCUGCCAACAGCAACACAGAUAAGAACCCAACAAGAGCUAAGGCUGCACUACCAAGAGUAUCGCUCCUGAGGUCCCCAUCUCCUUUUCAGCCACAACUGUAGACACCUCAGCCCCAGUUCCUCUAAAAGGAGUAAAAGAAAGGAGAGGAUACCUAGUGGCAAGAAAGCAUGAAGAGGGCAAAUCCUCUGACUUAUCACCGGGAUUAACACUGAGAAACUUAGGUCAGGGUAGAAAAGAAGCACAGAGGAAGUAGCAGUGUCUCUGAAGAAAGCAUUGCCGUCACCAAGCCAAAUUUAUCCAAGGACUCACACAUUACUGUGACAGGAUCCCUCAAAUAAGAAGGCAAGUUUCCUGUAGAGAGACACAAAUGAGAAAGGCAGGGACCUUUUUUAGCAGAGCCGCGAUUUUCUGGAGAACCUGGGGAAGCACACACUUCUCAACAAUUCAGUUAAAUUACGUUUACACUAUCUUUGUUCAGAACAGAUUCUAAUACGGAUUAGCUUUACAGCAUCACCAUGGACGAACAAAUAUGUCAUCAUCAGCUGGGCUUUAUUGGAACUGGGGCUCAGCAUUUUGAUUGAGUAGCUGAAGUGGGUAAAAGAUGGCUGGUUUAAUCAGCCACCUUUCUUAAACUUACACCUCAUACAUCCAAUGACCUUAGUCAACCAGCCCUGUAUUUUCAAGACCCUUGCUUGUUUGUUGUGCUUUCAUUCUCAGCCCUUGUGGCUACAUGACACCAGCUUGUUCUGGACCCAGAAGUAUGCAGACAACAUGCCUUAACUGUGUGACCCCUGCCAAAUACGAGGGGCCAGCCCACUCCACACCCUUCCCCCCAACACACCUACCUGCUCUGGGUACAGGUCUGCUACUCUUGCUCACUGCGUCUGAAUGGGUCUGAGUUCAUCUCCCUCUGCCUACUUUGCUAAGAAACAUGCAUGCCAAAUUGACCAUCUGAAAGUUUUUAUUUAGAAGUAAACUGACAGUAAAAGACAAAUUAUAAAGCCACAGAGUCAACAGUUUGUGAGGUAAGCAGGUGAGAAGUUAUUUCCAAAGUUCCAAAAUUACCUUUGGCACUUUGUAUCCAUGACAUGCCCUUACCCCCACCACAGCAUGGGACCCUUCUGUGAUAGAACUUUGGGUUGAGCGGAAAACUGCCUAUCUUUCUCUGCUUCUACCAUCCUUUGCAGGAUAGACUCCCUUUUCACUGUCACCAAGUACAGCACUUUCAAGCAAAGGCCCUCUUUAUUUUGCUUUCCAGUAAUAGAUUUAAACCAUGGUUUGUGGGUUUAUUAUGCUCACAAUCCACAGCUCCAACACCUGGUAACCCACACAGAUGCACAAGUAAGGCUCACCUAAUGGUCUACCUGGCAACUCACUUAAAAUACGGGAGAGGGAAUCCACAUCCUUGCUGCUCUACGUUACAGUUUGUUUUGUUUUUAAAAAAAACACUUCUCUCCUACUACCAAAGUUUCUCUGUAGCUAAAACAGAAAAACAAAACAAAAUACAAAAAGACCAAAUGCAAAAAACAUUCAAGUGAACCAGAACUUUCCUUUAGCAAGUGGAUACGGAUCUCUACAGCUGGAUCCCUCCAGGAAGGAAGUGGUGACAAUGUAUUUGAUCAAUUCCUGAAAUGAAAAAUCAUCUCGCUGUGCCCUCAGACAUGAGGUUCUCUGAUUAACUUUUGGCACGAUUAACUCAUCACAUUGGGCUUUUUUUUAUUAUUAUUAAAAUGGGCAGAGCCCCUCAUGAGACUUCCCAUUUAUAACAGAGGGAAUGAAAUCUCCACUUAAUUCCCGUCUCCUGCUUCCCUCUCUCUUUAGAGAAAAGAUAGACUCUGCUUGUUCCAUCGGAGAUAUACUAGCUGCACAGUCGAUUCCCUUUGCAGCUCCGUAAUCCGGGGCUUCCAUCCUCAGUAGAGAAAGGAUAAUCCCAUGGGACCAGCUAAAGGCUCUUUCCUUCCGUCUCCUGCCUCUCCGUCUCUCUGGUUAAGAGCGCGGUUAAUGAAAUUGCACCUCAAAGCGAGGGGACAGCACUUUGCCUCCUCCGUCUGCCAUUAACUAAACAUUAAUAUCUGCAUUGGAACUAACUAAUACGGGCGAGGCUGAUCUGGGGAAGCGACCUCGGGAUCCGUCCAGCGCUCACUGUGCGAGAAGAGCGCGCAGCAAGCUCCAGGAAGCGAUGCUCCCUGCGAGAUCAAUCCAUCCAUUCCGGGUGAACCUCAGGGCGCCCAGAGUCCGGCUGCGUUCGCCAAAUACCCCGAGGCGAGGCAAGCAAGCACCUAGCGCAGGGAGUGGGGACGCGCUCCGCUGCUCCGCCAGGCUCCCGGGGUGGGGGGGGGGGGUCUCUCCCUCGCCCCAGCGCCUCCUCCCGGUCCCACUCUCCGUCACUCACCCCUGCUUUGACCACCACGUGCGGCUGGAGCACCGCGCGCCUGUUCCUGCGCGGCUCCACGGGAAAGUCCUCCGAUUACCAGCCGUGGCACUUGUAGCCUCAGCGCGCCGCUGGGCUCCACGGGGUGGGCAGCGCCUGCUGUGCCGGUUGGGAGGGGCGGGGCGGGGCACUCCUUCUUGCUGAGCAUCCCGGGAGUUGUAGUCCAGGGGCGGUCUCCAUCCGCGCCCUACCCCCACCCCGUUCUCUCUCACUCUUGGCUUUUGCCCUUCCUGAAGACAUUCCCGCUAUACCUUCAGACUCCUGAUUGGCUCUUUGGAAGAAAUCGCUGUGUCCUAAACUCAAGGUUGGGUCCUGCAGCCUCAGGAGAGGAAACUGAAUUACAAAGAAGCUGAGUAAUUUGUUCGAAGUUGUAAACUUGAUACUCAGCAGAGGUGGGGCAUGAACUCCAAAAGGUUCUAAGCAUUAUGAAAAUUGAAUGAAUGGAAGAAAGACCAGAAGUUCACUGAAUUUAUGGUUCUAAACUGAUCCAGUGUGUGCAGACAAUUCAACUUAUGGGAGCUCCAGCUUUCCCUCUCUGAGUUGCGUCUGGGCCCCUCCUUUGUGUCCCUGAAAGGAAGAGGCUGCCAGGACUCAGUGGCAUCUGUGUGCUUGAAGGAAUUUGUCUGAGAUGACCUUAAGAUCAGUGAUCCAGCACUGAUAGAUGUGCCAUGUCCCAGACUCUACCCAGGCCGGGUUAGAGUCCUCCAUAAUCCUAUCGAUGAUAUAGACAAUCUCCAUCCGAGCGGCCACCUAAACUUCCCUGAUGUCACGGCAACCUACUUUGAAGAGAAUAUUGAGCGUGUAAAAGGCAACAAACAUAUUACAACUUUUCGGUAUUUGAACCCAGCUCUGCCUCUUUCCAUUUGUGAGACCUCAUUAGCUUCAGUGCACUUACCUGUUAAAUGAGAAUAAUGAUAUCAUCUUGCAAGGCUCCAUCAUAACAUGGAUUUCCAAGACCACGUCAGCAUAGAUGCCUGUUUACAAAGGUAAUGAUCUGUGUGGUCUAGGGCUGCCAAGUUGAGCCCCAGAUCAACCUCCGGAACUGUUUUGAAGGCCUAAUAUGUAUAGAGGCAUUACUGGUGCCGAUCCCAGCCAUAUGAGCAAACUCAUAAAGUCAGACUUUCCAGUAUUGGGACCCCAGAAUCUACAUAUUUUUAACCUUUGGAUUAACAAUCAUGUUUGGGAUUCACCAAGAAGAUUCUCUUUCAUCCAAAGCAUUCUUAAAGUGUGUAAACCUGGCUCAGGUUAUCGCUAAUCGGAAUCUUUCACAUGGCUCGAUUUUGAUCUACAGUAGAAGUAGAAGUACACAGUACUUCUACAGUACCACAGUAGAAGUAGAUCAUUAGAUCUUUCCAGUUUGUUCCAGAACUAAUGUCAACUCCUGGAGAAGGCACAGGGCUAAAUGGAAAAUGGAGGAACCCAUCAUUGAGCAAUUGUUUCAUGGUAGUUACAUAGUCUGUGAAGUGUUUUCCAUGUGUAACAUGGGAAAAAGCUAUUUGUAAUUUAUAAUUCUCUUCUACCUUCUAAAGAAGAUACACCCCAGUGACUGGAGGCUUCCUUGUGGACUGAAAAGAAUGAUUCCUGAGGAGUGAUGUUUGGAGGAAAUGGAUAAGAGUUAAAUUGAGCUGCAUGAUAAAGGGAGUAUAAAGGGGUGAGAUGGGAGCAUUAGGUGCAGGAAGGGAGAGACAAACCUGGAAAACCAGGCCCUGGAGGACAAGGAGAGAAGAGAUUUGAAAGUGAGAACUGGUCUGUGUAUGAUCAGAGGGCUGCUCUAACAAAUAGAACUCAAGAUGUAGUGGCUUAAAUGAGAUGGCACAUUUUGCUAGCAUUUAAUAGUUCAAAGAUAAAUAGUUGGGAACUUCUAAACUUCUAAAGAUGUUUGUCAGUAUUCUUUAAACCACAGGAAAUGGAAAAGAGUGCAAGACAAGCAGCUUUAACUCUGAGAAGAUGACAGGACAAUUGGAAGCAUCAUUGUUCAUACCCCAUGGGCCUGACUUGGUUACUUGGUAACACCUGAAUGAAGAGAAACUAAAAUAUGUCAUCUCUAGCUGGGUUUCCAUGUUCUCAGCUAAAACCUGGAAGCUUCUGUUGCUAAAAGGAAGAAGGGAUAUAUUGAUAUAGUGCUACAAUUAGCAGUCCUGCCCACUUGGCAAGAGAUAGCUAAUUCCAAGUUUCAGCUUGAAAUGGUAUAUAUCCUGUGCUGUGUGAACGCCCACCUCUAACUUUCCUUCAAUGUAUUUAGUAAAAUACACAUUGUUCACUAGUG